rnacentral:rRNA from 1 species
UACGGGGGGGGCAAGCGUUGUUCGGAAUUACUGGGCGUAAAGGGCUCGUAGGUGGCCAACUAAGUCAUACGUGAAAUCCCUCGGCUUAACCGGGGAACUGCGUCUGAUACUGGAUGGCUUGAGGUUGGGAGAGGGAUGCGGAAUUCCAGGUGUAGCGGUGAAAUGCGUAGAUAUCUGGAGGAACACCGGUGGCGAAGGCGGCAUCCUGGACCAAUUCUGACGCUGAGGUGCGAAAGCGUGGGGAGCAAACAGG